rnacentral:rRNA from 1 species
AUUGAACGCUGGCGGCAUGCCUUACACAUGCAAGUCGAACGGCAGCACGGGAGCAAUCCUGGUGGCGAGUGGCGAACGGGUGAGUAAAGUAUCGGAACGUGCCCAGUCGUGGGGGAUGACGUAGCGAAAGUUACGCUAAUACCGCAUACGAUCUAUGGAUGAAAGCGGGGGAUCGCAAGACCUCGCGCGAUUGGAGCGGCCGAUAUCAGAUUAGGUAGUUGGUGGGGUAAAGGCUCACCAAGCCGACGAUCUGUAGCUGGUCUGAGAGGACGACCAGCCACACUGGGACUGAGACACGGCCCAGACUCCUACGGGAGGCAGCAGUGGGGAAUUUUGGACAAUGGGCGAAAGCCUGAUCCAGCCAUGCCGCGUGCAGGAUGAAGGCCUUCGGGUUGUAAACUGCUUUUGUAUGGAACGAAAAGGUUUGGGCUAAUAAGCUGAGCUCAUGACGGUACCGUAAGAAUAAGCACCGGCUAACUACGUGCCAGCCGCCGCGGUAA